CUUAAUUUGUUUGAAAAAUUGUGAAAUUUGUGUGCUUCAUUUGUUUCAGCACUUGUUAAACAUUGUACUGUUAUCGCCGAAUUUGUUUCAGCAAUUUUCGUCCUCUUGUUUGCCGAACUUGUUAAAUUUUAUGUUGAAUUUGUUUGAAAUAUGUCAAAUGGUCGAGGUUGGGGGUUUCCUGCCGGGGGGACGGCUGGAACUUCGGCGCUCCCCACGCCAAAUCUUCAUCCAAUCCGGACGAAAAUUUCGCCGGAUUUGGGCGUGGGGAGCGCCAACGAGUGGGGAUGCUCUAAGGUCCUCCUGGAAACAUCGAGUGCUCUCCUUUUCUCUCACCCUCUACUAGCUGUCACCAUCCCCGUUUGGGCGUGGAGAGCGCUCUGCUCUGUCUAGCGUCAAGAGGCAGUGCAGGCCGACCUGCUUGGGCGGCGGGGAACGGCGGCCGGCGUUGAGGUCAACCGGAGCUUGGCCGGGGAAAGCUGCUGGCAGGGUGCAGCCGGCGUGGUCGCCGACGUCCGCGUCUAGCGGCGGCCGCCGACGAAGUCAAGCGGCAGCCGCCGAGAAAGUCAGGCGGCCGCGCGGCGCCGCUGCAGAUUAUUCCUCUUUGCCCCUUCCUCUUGGACCUUGCUGCUAUUCCUUCUUGGCGGCCGCGCCGUCCGGCGUUGAGGAGCUCUCAUAAUCGUAAGCGAGGAGGACGACCUGAGGAGCCGUGUCUUCUGGCUGCGGCGAGCCGGCCACUGAAGCGCAGCGCGAUGGAGGCGCUCCAGAAGUGUACUGGUGGGAGCCGCCCUUGCGCCAGAGCUCCACCGCAUUGCCCGAGAUCUCAGCCGCGGCCGUUGAUACAAGCACGCCUUUGAGGAAUCUGUGCAGUCACCAGAAAGAUGUGGCCAGAAGACUCGUGGAGCAUGUUUUCGACUUGCGAAGAGAAUGACUGAACGUUUCUAGGUGCACGUUAGGCACAGUUUCAGUCUUCCAAAUAAAUUUCAUCUAUUGCACAGAGAAUGGCUGAACGUUUUUUUCCUUCUCCAGCUGUGAUUCACUCUUCUUUUUUUUUUUGUUUGAGGUUUCUGAAAUUUCUCAGAGUGACCAUCUUUCCUGACCCUUAUAACUCGUGGCAUUUGUUUGCUGUGCGGUAGCUUCUGCUAUAGUUCAUCUGAACUCGGUUAAUUGAAAGGAUGAUUGAAUGCAGAUUGAGGUGUGCUA